UGCAUAUUUAUUUUCUUGUUAAUAACUCUCAUAAUUGCCUGCUACUGUUUCAGUUCUGGGGCCAGGCAACCUUGAAUCCAACGUCCACCUGCAGGCUACAUCUCAGAAAACUCAUGAACAUCAUGGCGCCUUGUUGAUGGGGUGAUCAAUAGCUACUAUAUUGGGACCCUGCACUUAAAUUGGGAAAUUGCAAAGCAUAUUAUGAAUUGUUACAAGAAACUAUUUCCGCUGUUUUGGUGCAAGGAUGUUGCUUUUUAGUAUGCUUCCCAUAUCUUGGUAUCUUGGAAUAAUAAACAGAUAGAUGUCGUGUACCAAGAUUGUUCCUUGUUGUUAAGAGGGAUACAAAUAUUAUACAAGAAUUUUUCUGAUGACUCCUAAAGCAUAUUUGGAUAUACAGCAAAGUAUAUUGUCGCUUCCCUGUUAGUAAAACAAUUAUGU